rnacentral:rRNA from 1 species
GACAGAGGUGCCGAGCGUUAGGCGGAAUCACUGGGCUUAAAGCGUGUGUAGGCGGACUUCUAAGUACCUUGUGAAAUCCCACGGCUUAACCGUGGAACUGCUUGGUAUACUGGUUGUCUUGGGCCAUCUAGGGGCUAGCGGAACAAACGGUGGAGCGGUGAAAUGCGUAGAUAUCGUUUGGAACGCCAAUGGUGAAAACAGCUAGCUGGGGAUGUGCCGACGCUGAGACGACGAAAGCCAGGGGAGCGAACGGGA